CCUACGGGCGGCAGCAGUGGGGAAUAUUGCACAAUGGGCGGAAGCCUGAUGCAGCAACGCCGCGUGCGGGAUGACGGACUUCGGGUUGUAAACCGCUUUCGCCUGUGACGAAGCGUGAGUGACGGUAAUGGGUAAAGAAGCACCGGCUAACUACGUGCCAGCAGCCGCGGUGUUACGUAGGGUGCGAGCGUUGUCCGGAUUUAUUGGGCGUAAAGGGCUCGUAGGUGGUUGAUCGCGUCGGAAGUGUAAUCUUGGGGCUUAACCCUGAGCGUGCUUUCGAUACGGGUUGACUUGAGGAAGGUAGGGGAGAAUGGAAUUCCUGGUGGAGCGGUGGAAUGCGCAGAUAGCAGGAGGAACACCAGUGGCGAAGGCGGUUCUCUGGGCCUUUCCUGACGCUGAGGAGCGAAAGCGUGGGGAGCGAACAGGAUUAGAUACCCCUGUAGUC
rnacentral:rRNA from 1 species